rnacentral:rRNA from 1 species
UACGAACCGUACAAACGUUAUUCGGAAUCACUGGGCUUAAAGGGUGCGUAGGCGGCCAUGUAAGUGGGGUGUGAAAUCCCUCGGCUCAACCGAGGAACUGCGCUCCAUACUGCAUGGCUUGAGGGAGACAGGGGUAAGCGGAACUGAUGGUGGAGCGGUGAAAUGCGUUGAUAUCAUCAGGAACACCGGUGGCGAAGGCGGCUUACUGGAUCUUUUCUGACGCUGAUGCACGAAAGCUAGGGGAGCGAACGGG